rnacentral:rRNA from 1 species
CUACGUGCCAGCAGCCGCGGUAAUACGUAGGGGGCAAGCGUUAUCCGGAUUUACUGGGUGUAAAGGGAGCGCAGGCGGUUUUGCAAGUUGAGAGUGGAAGCAGGGGGCUCAACCCCCUGACUGCUCCCAAAACUGUAAAACUUGAGUAUGGGAGAGGCAGGCGGAAUUCCUAGUGUAGCGGUGAAAUGCUUAGAUAUUAGGAAGAACACCGGUGGCGAAGGCGGCCUGCUGGACCAAAACUGACGCUGAGGCUCGAAAGCGUGGGUAGCAAACAGGAUUAGAUACCCUGGUAGUCCACGCUGUAAACGAUGAAUACUAGGUGCUGGGAUGCAUAAGCAUUUCGGUGCCGUCGCAAACGCAUUAAGUAUUCCACCUGGGGAGUACGUUCGCAAGAAUGAAACUCAGAGGAAUUGACGGGGACCCGCACAAGCGGUGGAGCAUGUGGUUUAAUUCGACGCAACGCGAAGAACCUUACCCGGUCUUGAGAUCC